rnacentral:lncRNA from 1 species
GUGAAGGGGCCUCGAUUGCCGGCAAGUGAUCCAAGUUCUGAACAAAGUUCGACCCCUUAUUUUUCUUGAUUUUCUUUCGACUUUGUUUCCAUUCAGUUGGUCGCCAUCGUUGCUGCCAUGGCUACAGCUAGUUGUUGGUGUUGUGUCACCACCCUUGGAUGUGCUAUGUAGGUCGUCGGCCAUCGACCUUUCUACUGUCAUUUUUUAAGGAGAGGAGAAAAGGAGAAUCCCCCUCUUUCAAAGAAGAUAAGAACU